GAUGAACGCUGGCGGUAUGCCUAACACAUGCAAGUCGUACGAGAGUUUUUAACUCUAGUGGCGGACGGGUGAGUAACACGUGAGAAUUUGCCUUUAGGAGGGGGAUAACAAUUGGAAACGAAUGCUAAUACCCCAUAUGCUUUUGAGUGAAACGGAUUUAUCCGCCUAGAGAGAAGCUCGCGGCUGAUUAGCUUGUUGGUAAGGUAAGAGCUUACCAAGGCGACGAUCAGUAUCUGGUUUGAGAGGACGAUCAGACACACUGGAACUGAGACACGGUCCAGACUCCUACGGGAGGCAGCAGUGGGGAAUUUUCCGCAAUGGGCGAAAGCCUGACGGAGCAAUCUCGCGUGGGGGAUGACGGCCUAUGGGUUGUAAACCUCUUUUUUCAGGGAAGAACAAAAUGACGUGUACCUGAAGAAUAAGCAUCGGCUAACUCCGUG
rnacentral:rRNA from 1 species